GCUGAGGCGUGAUGACGAGGCACUACGGUGCUGAAGCAACAAAUGCCCUGCUUCCAGGAAAAGCCUCUAAGCAUCAGGUAACAUCAAAUCGUACCCCAAACCGACACAGGUGGUCAGGUAGAGAAUACCAAGGCGCUUGAGAGAACUCGGGUGAAGGAACUAGGCAAAAUGGUGCCGUAACUUCGGGAGAAGGCACGCUGAUAUGUAGGUGAAGUCCCUCGCGGAUGGAGCUGAAAUCAGUCGAAGAUACCAGCUGGCUGCAACUGUUUAUUAAAAACACAGCACUGUGCAAACACGAAAGUGGACGUAUACGGUGUGACGCCUGCCCGGUGCCGGAAGGUUAAUUGAUGGGGUCAGCGCAAGCGAAGCUCUUGAUCGAAGCCCCGGUAAACGGCGGCCGUAACUAUAACGGUCCUAAGGUAGCGAAAUUCCUUGUCGGGUAAGUUCCGACCUGCACGAAUGGCGUAAUGAUGGCCAGGCUGUCUCCACCCGAGACUCAGUGAAAUUGAACUCGCUGUGAAGAUGCAGUGUACCCGCGGCAAGACGGAAAGACCCCGUGAACCUUUACUAUAGCUUGACACUGAACAUUGAGCCUUGAUGUGUAGGAUAGGUGGGAGGCUUUGAAGUGUGGACGCCAGUCUGCAUGGAGCCGACCUUGAAAUACCACCCUUUAAUGUUUGAUGUUCUAACGUGGACCCGUGAUCCGGGUUGCGGACAGUGUCUGGUGGGUAGUUUGACUGGGGCGGUCUCCUCCUAAAGAGUAACGGAGGAGCACGAAGGUUGGCUAAUCCUGGUCGGACAUCAGGAGGUUAGUGCAAUGGCAUAAGCCAGCUUGACUGCGAGCGUGACGGCGCGAGCAGGUGCGAAAGCAGGUCAUAGUGAUCCGGUGGUUCUGAAUGGAAGGGCCAUCGCUCAACGGAUAAAAGGUACUCCGGGGAUAACAGGCUGAUACCGCCCAAGAGUUCAUAUCGACGGCGGUGUUUGGCACCUCGAUGUCGGCUCAUCACAUCCUGGGGCUGAAGUAGGUCCCAAGGGUAUGGCUGUUCGCCAUUUAAAGUGGUACGCGAGCUGGGUUUAGAACGUCGUGAGACAGUUCGGUCCCUAUCUGCCGUGGGCGCUGGAGAACUGAGGGGGGCUGCUCCUAGUACGAGAGGACCGGAGUGGACGCAUCACUGGUGUUCGGGUUGUCAUGCCAAUGGCACUGCCCGGUAGCUAAAUGCGGAAGAGAUAAGUGCUGAAAGCAUCUAAGCACGAAACUUGCCCCGAGAUGAGUUCUCCCUGACCCUUUAAGGGUCCUGAAGGAACGUUGAAGACGACGACGUUGAUAGGCCGGGUGUGUAAGCGCAGCGAUGCGUUGAGCUAACCGGUACUAAUGAACCGUGAGGCUUAACCUU
rnacentral:rRNA from 1 species